rnacentral:lncRNA from 1 species
AAAUUAAUUUGCAAACUAACACCUAUGCCUUAUUUGAUUAUUUCUAUAGGUGGACGUUUGAUCCAGGAGGACAAGCUUUGGCGAAGCAAAAGGUUGCUAUCCGAGAUCAAGUCUGUAGAUCUGAGGAUAGAUCUUUUCCCGAAGGAGGAGAUGAUGGACACCAUCCAGCCACAACCAUCCCCCUAGUUGAAGAAAAAGCUUUGGAUUUGAGGACAAAUCCUUUUCAAGAGGGAGGGGAUGAUGGAGGAGGGCCCAAGCUCACCACACGAUGAAAGCCAAGCCUCCAAGACUAGACGGUCUAGCCUAUGAUGAGGAGCGUCUAGACUCAAAAAGGAGCGUCUAGCCCAUGAAGAGGAGCGUCUAGGCCAUGAUGAGGAGCGGCUACAUAAGGAGCGUCUAGGCCAUGAUGAGGAUUCCUUCUAGACCGUCUAGCUUCACAUACACAUGGGUCAAAGCUACGGUUUUGGGAAGAGAAGACCUUUGUAAUUGUUACAUAAAGGCCCAUUAGGGGUGCUUAGUAAUUAGAGUAGUGUAGAAAGCAUAUUUGUGUGAACAUUCUAGAAAGACCAUGGAGGGGGGGUGAGCAUAAAAACUAGACACACCCCUCCCCAUGUGCUCAUUUGUGCACCCAUGUGCCAUGUGCACCCAUGUGCUUCACAUUUACAUUUCAU